ensembl:snoRNA small nucleolar RNA SNORA9
CAGCAAGCCUACCAGCGUGGGGGGGCCUGGUGUGGCCCCCGCCAUUCCUGCAGCGCUUGCCAGAGCAGCCCCGGGACGGUUUGAGGCCUCUCCCCGCUUUCCCCGGGGGGGGGGUUAUAGACAUCCCGGACACCC